AAUGGAAGAAUGACAAAUCAGAUUUUCCCUUUUGAUUUUCAGUUUUUUUCUCCUGAAAAAAUUUAAAUCCAACUAAAAGUGCUAAAAAUCAGAAGGAAAAAUCUGAUUUGUUAUUCUCCCAUU
rfam:Gossypium hirsutum cultivar TM-1 chromosome 5, whole genome shotgun sequence